GUCACUCAUCCCCGGCCUGAAGGCCGAGGCAUUGACCGUUGAGGCCAGUGUCUGAGUGACCCGAAGACCCGCAAAACGGGUAAACGAUUUGAAGUUGCACACCGACGAAUGCCUUGCCAGUUUGUCGCUCUGUG
rnacentral:sRNA from 12 species